AUGAACGCUGGCGGCGUGCUUAACACAUGCAAGUCGAACGAUGAAGCCCAGCUUGCUGGGUGGAUUAGUGGCGAACGGGUGAGUAACACGUGAGUAACCUGCCCUUAACUCUGGGAUAAGCCUGGGAAACUGGGUCUAAUACCGGAUAGGAGCGUCCACCGCAUGGUGGGUGUUGGAAAGAUUUAUCGGUUUUGGAUGGACUCGCGGCCUAUCAGCUUGUUGGUGAGGUAAUGGCUCACCAAGGCGACGACGGGUAGCCGGCCUGAGAGGGUGACCGGCCACACUGGGACUGAGACACGGCCCAGACUCCUACGGGAGGCAGCAGUGGGGAAUAUUGCACAAUGGGCGCAAGCCUGAUGCAGCGACGCCGCGUGAGGGAUGACGGCCUUCGGGUUGUAAACCUCUUUCAGUAGGGAAGGAGCGAAAGUGACGGUACCUGCAGAAGAAGCACCGGCUAACUACAUG
rnacentral:rRNA from 1 species